ACCUUUCAAACAGGCAUAAUUUAAAUCUAAUUAAUUGUAUCUGAGAUUUUUUUACCAGAUUUUUUUACUAACAGGGUUUGUACAACUUCAAUCUGGAUAAAAGUAGAUUGAAUUCUAAUAGAUUGAACUCCUUCUAUAUUUACUGCAGGAGCUCUCACUUUUUGCCGUAGUAAAACUGUUGGCAACUGGUCUUGUAAAUCUGAACAGGGUAGAAGUUCUUUGGCGUCCUAUAACAAAUCACCUGCUUGAAGUCAUCAUUCACCCACUUAACCGCUUGAGAGAAUGGGGAAUAGAUGUCAUUACUACGUUAGUUAGAUCAGUAAUUCAAUAUGAUUAUUCUACCCCUUUAAAAGAAAACCAGAGAUUGAAGACGUUGUUAAUAUCACCAUUAAAUGAGCUGUCUAGUACCAGUUUUGCAGACGUGCAGCAAAAGCAAGUUGAUUGUGUGCUCCAUUUGCUGCACAGCUCUGGUGACAUAAUCUCUUUUGGAUGGCCCUUGUUUCUAAAUAUCAUAGGAGCUAUCAACAAUUCUCAAG